GACGAACGCUGGCGGCGUGCUUAACACAUGCAAGUCGAACGGAAAGGCCCUGCUUUUGUGGGGUGCUCGAGUGGCGAACGGGUGAGUAACACGUGAGUAACCUGCCCUUGACUUUGGGAUAACUUCAGGAAACUGGGGCUAAUACCGGAUAGGAGCUCCUGCUGCAUGGUGGGGGUUGGAAAGUUUCGGCGGUUGGGGCUGGACUCGCGGCUUAUCAGCUUGUUGGUGGGGUAGUGGCUUACCAAGGCUGUGACGGGUAGCCGGCCUGAGAGGGUGACCGGCCACAUUGGGACUGCGAUACGGCCCAGACUCCUACGGGAGGCAGCAGUGGGGAAUAUUGCACAAUGGGCGGAAGCCUGAUGCAGCAACGCCGCGUGCGGGAUGACGGCCUUCGGGUUGUAAACCGCUUUCGCCUGUGACGAAGCGUGAGUGACGGUAAUGGGUAAAGAAGCACCGGCUAACUACGUG
rnacentral:rRNA from 1 species